rnacentral:lncRNA from 12 species
CUUCAAGCAGCCUUUGCUGACUUGCAGGCCGAUUUCCAGCAGUUAACUGAGCAGUGAGCAGCGAAUCCUCAAAGUGGGGAUUACCUGUUCAAGGGAAUUACCUGUCCAGCCUCCUCACAAGUCUGAGGAGCAUCUGAAGGAGUUGAGAUAUUUUAGCCAGGCGAGCCAAGACAUUCUCCAGAAUGGCCUCUGGAUUCCAG